rnacentral:tRNA from 1 species
GGGAAGGUGGCUCAGUGGUAGAGCGCUUGCCUUGCAUGCAUGUAGUUACGAAAAGAACAUUUCUA